UACAGAGGGUGCAAGCGUUUAAUCGGAAUUACUGGGCGUAAAGCGUGCGCAGACGGUUGCGUAAGUCAGAUGUGAAAGCCCCGGGCUCAACCUGGGAAUUGCAUUUGAGACUGCGUAGCUAGGGUGCGGAAGAGGGAAGCGGAAUUUCCGGUGUAGCGGUGAAAUGCGUAGAUAUCGGAAGGAACACCAGUGGCGAAAGCGGCUUCCUGGUCCAGCACCGGACGUUCAGGCACGAAAGCGUGGGGAGCAAACAGG
rnacentral:rRNA from 1 species